rnacentral:rRNA from 1 species
GAUGAACGCUGGCGGCGUGCCUAAUACAUGCAAGUCGAGCGAACAGACGAGGAGCUUGCUCCUCUGACGUUAGCGGCGGACGGGUGAGUAACACGUGGAUAACCUACCUAUAAGACUGGGAUAACUUCGGGAAACCGGAGCUAAUACCGGAUAAUAUAUUGAACCGCAUGGUUCAAUAGUGAAAGACGGUUUUGCUGUCACUUAUAGAUGGAUCCGCGCCGCAUUAGCUAGUUGGUAAGGUAACGGCUUACCAAGGCGACGAUGCGUAGCCGACCUGAGAGGGUGAUCGGCCACACUGGAACUGAGACACGGUCCAGACUCCUACGGGAGGCAGCAGUAGGGAAUCUUCCGCAAUGGGCGAAAGCCUGACGGAGCAACGCCGAGUGAGUGAUGAAGGUCUUCGGAUCGUAAAACUCUGUUAUUAGGGAAGAACAAAUGUGUAAGUAACUAUGCACGUCUUGACGGUACCUAAUCAGAAAGCCACGGCUAACUACGUG